GCCGUUUCUUUGCCGGGCCUUAGCAAGUUGAUCCCGUCGUCGCUCGGCUGCCCCCCGACGGCGCCAGUGCUUCGGGCCUGGCUCGCCGGUCGAACUCCGGUGAAGUGACUAGUGAGUGAUGGGUCCCGCUGCCUCAUCGGUACCCGCGCCGACCACCUCGGCCCAGGGCCUUCCACAACGGGCGCGGCCCCGGCUUCGUCUCCGGCGCGUGCUACACGCUGCGUCGACGCGCUCCUCGCCGCCGUGUUGCGGGGAGCUCGCACGGGUCUACGGCCCCAGGUGCGCACCUGGUACGAUGAGGAUUUGGCGAGAUUUUCUGGCAGCGCCAGCUCGCGGCUGAGGGGUUGAGGGGCUGAUUCGGAUGAUGAGAAGAGGGGACUGGGCGACUGAGGACUGAGAUUUUCUGGCAGCGCCAGCUCGCGGCUGAGGGGUUGAGGGGCUGAUUCGGAUGAUGAGAAGUGGGUAGAGCUGAUGGAUGGGGAUGAUUUCCUGAGCAGUGAUAGCGAGGAGGAAGAAUUGGGUGCCGGAUUUGGGAAGGAGAACGUUCAGCCUCAAUGUUUCGCCGCAAACCAUGGAUGACAAUUAUUUCGGUCUCGAUUUAACCUCUUUCUGCACAACUGGCUCAUCAACCUGAUAAACAUUCCAGGUAUCUUGAACCUCAGUCGGCAUUUGUGAAGUUAGUGUUUAUGCAGAGCACAUACGUCCAGUUUGUCGGCUGAGGCAAAAGAGGGCUAGAGAUUUCGUUGCAAUUGGAUUCGAAUUUUGUAAUGCAACUAUUAGUUGAACUGAUGAAGGCUACUUGCCAGUAUGCUCCUGCGCCACACUGGUGUGUGAUGAGAGGAUGUGCAGUGCCGAGCCAGAAGAACAAGCUUGACUGGUCCCUGCCGUGGCGUGUUCAGUCGCUGCGCGGAAUGGCAGUUUCGCCUGAACCGGGAGCAUGGCCAAGACGGACUGUUUUGUUGGAGCUUGGACGCAUGCUGCUGACCUCCCCCGUCCGUGUGUCACGGGCACUUGUGCCGCACCGGCCGAUCGACGUCGCCGGCCCACCCGUCAGCUUCAAGGCGGGGCCUGGACGCCUGGUCAUGGGCACCGUGAUGUUAACCUGGCCUACUGCUGCUGCUGGCCUGCUGCUGCUGUUGUUGCAGCGGACUGUGGCUCUCCAGUCUCCAGCGUGUCUCGAGUCUCGACGUGCUUUGGCAAAGCAGCGCCCAUUCUGAAGCUAGUCGCAGGUAAAUGCGACACGUCCAUACCAGUGGGGCUGGGCUGCUGGCUCUUGAUGUGCCUGUCUGUCCUGAUGAGAAUGAUACAUCACACGUCCAGUCUUCGUUCAGUUCAGUCCAGUCCAAGUCCUCCCCAGUCCAUCGUGCCCGGCACGACCGGCUGUUACUCGCACGCACGCUCGCACGUGCUCCGUUCCUCCAUGGCUGGCUGCCCUCCCUGUUGCUGUAGCGCGCUGGUUGGUGAGACGGGGAAACGACGAGCGGCGUAGCUACAACUGGAAGCUCGAGUAGGCUCGUCGUAUCUCCAUUACCAGAUAGAAACGUGCGCCAUGGAUGCAUGUGAGCUUCAUUGGGCCAAUGUAACUUACAAACGGUUGCGGAUCUGUAGCUAUUAAGUACUAGGCUCUUCUCUCUCUU